CCUACGGGUGGCAGCAGUGGGGAAUAUUGGGCAAUGGGCGCAAGCCUGACCCAGCAACGCCGCGUGAAGGAAGAAGGCUUUCGGGUUAUAAACUUCUUUUCUCAGGGACGAAGCAAGUGACGGUACCUGAGGAAUAAGCCACGGCUAACUACGUGCCAGCAGCCGCGGUAAUACGUAGGUGGCAAGCGUUAUCCGGAUUUACUGGGUGUAAAGGGCGUGUAGGCGGGAAAGCAAGUCAGAUGUGAAAACCACGGGCUCAACCUGUGGCCUGCAUUUGAAACUGUUUUUCUUGAGUGCAGGAGAGGUAAGCGGAAUUCCUAGUGUAGCGGUGAAAUGCGUAGAUAUUAGGAGGAACACCAGUGGCGAAGGCGGCUUACUGGACUGUAACUGACGUUGAGGCUCGAAAGCGUGGGGAGCAAACAGGAUUAGAUACCCUUGUAGUC
rnacentral:rRNA from 1 species